CCCAUGUAAACUCCACAUUCCUGACUCUGCGGUGCGUCUGACUUUCUUUAUGGAGGGAGGAGGCUAUCUAUGUGUGUGUGUGUGUGUAUCUGUGUGUGUGAGUGUAUGUGUGUGUGUCUGUGUCUUUGUGUUUGAGUGUGUGUGAGGUUCACACACUUUGUGCUGACUGCAGUGAAAGCGGAGGGUCAGGGUUAGUUAGACCUCGUCCUCUCUGCAGAAUGAACAGCUGGAACGACUCUGAGGAUCUGGCAGGGAAACUACACCAGCUACAUUCACUACUGCGAGUACUGCAGUACAAACCUGAGGUGAUUUUCACCAUCUCUGUUAUUGCUGGUACCUGAAUAGUCUGCUGGAUGGAGAUGAUGGUGCAGCAAGUGGAGCAUAACUGUGCAGGUGAAGCUGUAGAGGACCUGGAAAGAAAAACCCCAAACAUGCAGCACACUACGAAACAUCCAGCUGUGCAAGACGAGCAGAAACACCACAGCGGGAAAACUCUGACAAGAAGUUUGAGUUUUCCAGCAGGAGAGGGACUCGAGUUCACAGCCACAGGUGAAAUAUUUUCCAGGCCACAAAUGCAAGUUGACGUACAUUAAACUCACCACGAUCUUAAAGAAACCUUUCAUUCAACAACACCUGUGAGCAUAUUUAGGGUCAAACAUCUGCAUCCACAAACACACGGCAGGAAAUGUGUGCAGCCUUUCUUUAUGACAGUAUAACUCACUCUAAAUCAGUAUGAAUUAAACUGCAUCAGAUUCAAUGUAAGCUGUUUACAGUGUUCUUAUUUGAACAUGUUUAGCUUCAGUGAAGUUAUUCUGUAUUAUUAUAUGGAGGAUGCAGAGGGCGGGGCAGAUUUAGCAAGUUCAGAACAAAUAUUAAAAUGCAAACAGUCAUGCAGAAACUAACCGUCAGAAAAUCCGAAGAAGCUGUCUUCCUCUGUUUUUUGGGUUUGUUUCUUUUUUCAUUUUUAUGGGAGCUCUCAGGAUUUUAUUUUUAAUACAUAAAUAAACUGAACUCAGAGCUGCUUUGAAUUUAGGGACUGGUUCUUAUACAGUGCUUUUCUCCUCUGAGCACUCAAAGCGCUUUACACAACUUUGGCCUCUUUCACACAUUCAGACUCUGGUGGAUGCAUUGCGAGCAGCUUAGGGGUUUUGGUCUUGUCCGAGGAUAUAUGUCAUGCAGACUGGAGCAGAUGGGGAUGGAAACUGAAUCUUCUGUUUAAUGUUUGAAGUUUUUGACUUCAGCUCUUUUAUCCUUGUGUUGUUUCCUGUGAUGUGCACUCUGUCUACUCUGGCUCCCUGAGGUCACUUUUGCUGUAAAUCUAAUAAAAAAAAAUGAUCUUUGUGUUAUGUUUGCCUGUUUUUAGGUCCUCUAAAUCACUGUGGGCAGUUGUGCUGUACAGACUGUGCACACAUGUAGCUGUGUUAAAAAUACUCUGUAUACUCUGCUGACUGAAGCUCCUUGUUGCUGUAACAAUAAAAUGAUCAGAAGCUAAAUGCUUCAGUAUG